UUUGGUGGACCAAAGAAAGGAGAUCUCCUGCCAUCUGGAGAAGGUCUACAUGAAUUAUGAGUGCACCAUCCUGUGGGCACAACUUUGUCCAGCUACCUCAUGACUGGAAUGGCAACCAGGAUGUUGCUGGAAUGAAAAUCACCCUCAGUCUCGUUCCUGCCAUCCAUAUGCUGGCCUUACAAAAAUGCCAGAAAUGGAACUAAUGAGACUGAAUAACAGAACAUAGUCUACACCUGUCAAAACACUUUUCACUUCGUUGCAGGCAAGCUUCUGGGAGCAGACUGGGUGUUCCAUGACUGAGUUUUUCUUCCAUCUGAGUCACUGAAGAUA